GGGGACUUAGCUCAGUUGGCUAGAGCGCCUGCCUUGCACGCAGGAGGUCAGGAGUUCGACCCUCCUAGUCUCCACCA
rnacentral:tRNA from 2 species